rnacentral:rRNA from 1 species
AUUGAACGCUGGCGGCAGGCCUAACACAUGCAAGUCGGACGGUAGCACAGAGAGCUUGCUCUUGGGUGACGAGUGGCGGACGGGUGAGUAAUGUCUGGGGAUCUGCCCGAUAGAGGGGGAUAACCACUGGAAACGGUGGCUAAUACCGCAUAACGUCGCAAGACCAAAGAGGGGGACCUUCGGGCCUCUCACUAUCGGAUGAACCCAGAUGGGAUUAGCUAGUAGGCGGGGUAAUGGCCCACCUAGGCGACGAUCCCUAGCUGGUCUGAGAGGAGGACCAGCCACACUGGAACUGAGACACGGGCCAGACUCCUACGGGAGGCAGCAGUGGGGAAUAUUGCACACUGGGCGCAAGCCUGAUGCAGCCAUGCCGCGUGUAUGAAGAAGGCCUUCGGGUUGUAAAGUACUUUCAGCGGGGAGGAAGGCGGUGAGGUUAAUAACCUUGCCGAUUGACGUUACCCGCAGAAGAAGCACCGGCUAACUCCGUGCCAGCAGCCGCCGUAA